GGGGUUUUAAGCUAGAAUCUCUUGCUUAAUUAUAAUUUUCACAAUAGAAUAAAUUACUACUACAAGGAUAGUUGAUAAAAUUAGUGUUUUACACCAUUUUAAUAGUAACAUAUCAAGUAAAUUUAAGAAAAAAAAAAUUAAGGGAUUAAAUUUUAACAUAUUAUGUAAUUAUUAGGGAUGAGAAAAAAAAAAUUAAAAA
rnacentral:lncRNA from 1 species